GUUGGCCUCGGAUCAGGUGGGGAUACCCGCUGAACUUAAGCAUAUCAAUAAGCGGAGGAAAAGAAACCAACAGGGAUUGCCUCAGUAACGGCGAGUGAAGCGGCAACAGCUCAAAUUUGAAAUCUGGCGCAAGCCCGAGUUGUAAUUUGCAGAGGAUGUUUCGGGUGAAGCCACGGUCCAAGUCCCUUGGAACAGGACGUCAUAGAGGGUGAGAACCCCGUACCUGGCCGUCGGUGCCCCCCGCUGUGAAACUCCUUCGACGAGUCGAGUUGUUUGGGAAUGCAGCUCUAAAUUGGUGGUAAAUUCCAUCUAAAGCUAAAUACCGGCCAGAGACCGAUAGCGCACAAGUAGAGUGAUCGAAAGAUGAAAAGCACUUUGAAAAGAGAGUUAAAAAGUACGUGAAAUUGUUGAAAGGGAAGCGCUUGCGGCCAGACUUGCCCGCGGUUGCUCAGCCCGCCUUUUGGCGGGUGCACUCUUCCGCGGUCAGGCCAGCAUCGGUUUGGGCGGUCGGAUAAAGGCGCCGGGAACGUGGCCUCCCCUCGGGGAGGUGUUAUAGCCCGGCGCGCAAUGCGGCCAGCCCGGACCGAGGUUCGCGCUUUGCUAGGAUGCUGGCGUAAUGGCCGUAAGCGGCCCGUCUUGAAACACGGACCAAGGAGUCUAACAUCUAUGCGAGUGUUUGGGUGUCAAACCCGUGCGCGUAAUGAAAGUGAACGGAGGUGGGAACCGCAAGGUGCACCAUCGACCGAUCCUGAUGUCUUCGGAAGGAUUUGAGUAAGAGCAUAGCUGUUGGGACCCGAAAGAUGGUGAACUAUGCGUGAAUAGGGUGAAGCCAGAGGAAACUCUGGUGGAGGCUCGCAGCGGUUCUGACGUGCAAAUCGAUCGUCAAAUUUGCGUAUAGGGGCGAAAGACUAAUCGAACCAUUU
rnacentral:rRNA from 1 species